GACAGAGGUCUCAAGCGUUAGGCGGAAUCACUGGGCUUAAAGCGUGUGUAGGCGGAUCGUUAAGUGCUUUGUGAAAUCCCGCGGCUCAACCGUGGAACUGCUUGGCAUACUGGCGAUCUUGAGCCAUCUAGGGGUCGCUGGAACAAACGGUGGAGCGGUGAGAUGCGUAGAUAUCGUUUGGAACGCCUAUGGUGAAAACAGGCGACUGGGGAUGUGCUGACGCUGAGACACGAAAGCCAGGGGAGCAAACGGG
rnacentral:rRNA from 1 species